rnacentral:tRNA from 1 species
GAAGGUUCAGCUCAGUGGUAGAGUUUGUGCUUCGCAUGCAUGACGUCCUGGGUUCAAUCCCCAGUACCUUCA